rnacentral:rRNA from 1 species
CUGGGGCGGUCGCCUCCUAAAAGGUAACGGAGGCGCUCAAAGGUUCCCUCAGAAUGGUUGGAAAUCAUUCAUAGAGUGUAAAGGCAUAAGGGAGCUUGACUGCGAGACCUACAAGUCGAGCAGGGUCGAAAGACGGACUUAGUGAUCCGGUGGUUCCGCAUGGAAGGGCCAUCGCUCAACGGAUAAAAGCUACCCCGGGGAUAACAGGCUUAUCUCCCCCAAGAGUUCACAUCGACGGGGAGGUUUGGCACCUCGAUGUCGGCUCAUCGCAUCCUGGGGCUGUAGUCGGUCCCAAGGGUUGGGCUGUUCGCCCAUUAAAGCGGUACGCGAGCUGGGUUCAGAACGUCGUGAGACAGUUCGGUCCCUAUCCGUCGUGGGCGUAGGAAAUUUGAGAGGAGCUGUCCUUAGUACGAGAGGACCGGGAUGGACAUACCUCUGGUGUACCAGUUGUCGUGCCAACGGCAUAGCUGGGUAGCUAUGUGUGGACGGGAUAAGUGCUGAAAGCAUCUAAGCAUGAAGCCCCCCUCAAGAUGAGAUUUCCCAACUUCGGUUAUAAGAUCCCUCAAAGAUGA